rnacentral:tRNA from 1 species
GCCCCUGUAGCUCAGUUGGACAGAGCAGCUGACUUCUAAUCAGCAGGUCGGGCGUUCGAAUCGCCCCGGGGGUACUA